CAUAUAUAAAAAACAUUUACAUUGUUAACUUGCUUUUUCAUGUGUUUGCUACCUGAAUACAGGCAUUUAUUAUAGUGGGGAAUGAGCUUCUCAAUUCCCUAGUCAAAGAAAUCAAUUAUAUCUGUACUUCAGUUUUCAUCUGUCAUCACCUUUAGUUUUUGUGUGUUGGAAAAGGUGAUAAUGGCUUCAAGCAAGGUUGGAACUAUAUGACAUGUGAUCAGACAAAUUCUAGUUUAAACAUUUCUUGAAUACUAGUCAUAGUAUAUGCACUCAAAUUAUGCAGAAAGAUGCAGGUUUGAUAACAAUGACCUGUACACACUGUUACCAAAAUUUUUUCUCAAACUUUUGCAUCCACUUUCUGUACAAGAUAAUCAGUCACAAUUGAUGGCUAGCCAGAUCACUCUUAGUCAUAUUUGUUUGGCCAUUUUGAAACAUUUUACAUUACUGUCUUACACCUCUUUCGGUCCAUACCUUGCAUUGUUGUCAAUGAAUCUCAAUAGCAUUUGUGUGUUAUGCAUGGAU
rnacentral:lncRNA from 1 species